rnacentral:rRNA from 1 species
AUACGUAGGUGACAAGCGUUAUCCGGAUUUACUGGGCGUAAAGGGCGUGUAGGCGGUCUUGCGAGUCAGAAGUGAAAUUCCUGAGCUCAACUCGGGCGCUGCUUCUGAAACUGCAGGACUUGAGUGCUGGAGGGGAUAGCGGAAUUCCUAGUGGAGCGGUAAAAUGCGCAGAUAUUAGGAAGAACACCGGUGGCGAAGGCGGCUAUCUGGACAGUAACUGACGCUGAGGCGCGAAAGCGUGGGGAGCAAACAGGAUUAGAUACCCUGGUAGUCCACGCUGUAAACGAUGAAUACUAGGUGUAGGAGGUAUCGACUCCUUCUGUGCCGAAGCAAACGCAUUAAGUAUUCCACCUGGGGAGUACGGCCGCAAGGUUAAAACUCAAAUGAAUUGACGGGG